rnacentral:lncRNA from 1 species
CAGAGAGAAGGCAGCCCGGUCCCCCUCAGUGGAAGGGAGUGGCGGUGGGCGGAGGGUGUUGAGGGGACGGUGCCAGCGGCUUGCGGGAAGCCGGGCGAUGCGGCAGAUGCCCAAAGGAUGAUAGUAAGCUUACUGUGACAUAACUCCCGGAGCCGCAGCACGAGCCUUGUGAACCUUGGAAGCCCGUUUUCCGCGCAGUCACUAACUCGCUUAGUCACCCUGUGUAAAAGUUAUUCUGGGAUGACACCUGCCUGGGAAGUCUCACCUUUCCCCCCACCUCCUCCUGUCUGCGUAUUGUUCUGUAGCACCCCGUGCGCACCUUGAUUGUAGCGCUUAAGGUGUCCGUUUUAUUUACUAGACAGGGAUUGAACCAUUGUGUCCCAACCACCUAGAACCUGGGUCAUAGUGUAAAGCUUAAUCAAUGUAAUAUAAAUGGGGGAAUUAAAUUCAUAAUUGUUUAAUGUUUAAGUUUUGUCUUAAAUUUUAAAAGUAAAUGUUGGGGAUGGAGGGGAGGGACAGAGGGAGUCUAAAGACACCAGUAAUUAAUGAGUUUUUAUAAAAUAAGUAGUGUUGGCCGGGCGCAGUGGCUCAUGCCUAUAAUCCCAGCACUUUGGGAGGCUGAGGCUGGCGGAUCACCUGAGGUGAGGAGUUGGAGACCAGCCUGGCCAACGUGGUGAAACCCUGUCUCUACUAAAAAUACAAAAAUUAGCCCGGCGAGGUGGCAGGCGCCUGUAAUAAAUCCCAGCUACUCAGGAGGCUAAGGCAGGAGAAUCUCUUGAACCCAGGAGGUAGAGGUUGCAGUGAGCCAAGAUGGUGGUAUUGCACUCCAGCCUGGGUGACAAGAGCGAAACUCCAUCCAAAAAAAGAAAAAACAUAGUGUUGGGGGACAAUUCUCCAUGGGUCACCUGCACUUUCCCGUGUUUUGUGAGCAGAGACACUGACUGCCUUUGUUCUGGAGUACUAUGAUAGCUGGUAUUUUUUAAGAUGUGAUUAACAGUUAAAUUAGACUUGAGUAAAGCAGUUGGUCCUCCACAAGGUGGGUUGGCCUCAUCCCGUCAAGGGAAGGUCAUAAGAGAAAAGACUAAGGUCCUCUGAGGAAGAAGGAAUCCUGCCCCCAGACUGCCUUCAGCUCUUUCCUGGGUCUCUAACUUGACCUACAAAUUUUAGGCUUGCCAGCAUUAUAAAUAAAGUUUUGGUGCCGCAAAAGAAAUAGCACUCAACUAUAAAAUUUUCUUUUUUCCUUCUCAGCAAGGCAAUUUACUUCUAUAGAAGGGUGCGCCCUCACAGAUGGAGCAAUGGUGAGCACACACCUGGACAAGGGAGGCGAAGGGGUUUUUAUUCCU